AUUGAACGCUGGCGGCAUGCUUUACACAUGCAAGUCGAACGGCAGCGCGGGGCAACCUGGCGGCGAGUGGCGAACGGGUGAGUAAUACAUCGGAACGUACCCAGAAGUGGGGGAUAACGUAGCGAAAGUUACGCUAAUACCGCAUACGUUCUACGGAAGAAAGUGGGGGACCGCAAGGCCUCAUGCUUUUGGAGCGGCCGAUGUCUGAUUAGCUAGUUGGUGAGGUAAAGGCUCACCAAGGCGACGAUCAGUAGCUGGUCUGAGAGGACGACCAGCCACACUGGGACUGAGACACGGCCCAGACUCCUACGGGAGGCAGCAGUGGGGAAUUUUGGACAAUGGGGGCAACCCUGAUCCAGCAAUGCCGCGUGAGUGAAGAAGGCCUUCGGGUUGUAAGGCUCUUUUGUCAGGGAAGAAAUCGCAGAGGCUAAUAUCCUGUGCGGAUGACGGUACCUGAAGAAUAAGCACCGGCUAACUACGUGCCAGCCGCCGCAGUAACAC
rnacentral:rRNA from 1 species